UCUUCCUGCCCUCAGCGUGGCGCGCGUGUUUCUGGUUGAAUUCUCAUGGAUCAAGAUAAGGGUUCUGAGCAUCACCUCCCGCCCCAGGUCCAUCUGGGCAACUCUGAGAGUUACAGCUUGUCUACUUCCACGUGGAUUUUCUGGCCUGAAGACUCUCAACUGCUGACCUCUCCUCUCAAAUCCUAAAUCUCAUCUCAGUAUCAUUUCGUUCCCAGUGUUUUCAAUCCAAAAUCAUUUUACAUUUGAUAGAGACCACAGAAAGUAUCGUUUAUCUUUUUAAUGUAAAUGUAAUUUCCGAAGCAGACCAUGCCCCUUGAUUAUAGGCAAAAUCAAACCUAAUAUUAGUUUGGAUUUAUUUUACUGUUAAUAUUAUUUACCUUCUAAAAACAGACUAACCCCAAUUAGCAUUGUGAAUUGUCUGCCCUGUAAUGACCAGAUAUCCCAUUCUAUUGCAUUACUGAAAUCAUUUGCAUAGUAAUUAUGGUUUAGCUUUAUGCGUAAUUGGAAUUGUUUCCCUCCUGGUAA